rnacentral:sRNA from 1 species
CCAGUCAUAGCAUAGUGUAUCCCCAAGUUACAGGGUAGUGUCCCCAGUUAUAAGGCAAUGUUCCCCCAUUAUAGUGUCCCCAGUUAUGAGGUAAUGUCUCCCAGUUACAGGGUAAUGUCCCCCAGUUAUAGGGUGAUGUCCCCACAGUUAUAGGGUGAUGUCCCCACAGUUACAGGAUAAUAGGAUAGUGUUCCCCAGUACAGGGCAGUGUCCCCAGUUACUCACUAGUGUCCCCUAGUAACAGGGCAGUGUCCACCCAGAUACAGCCUAGUGUCCCUCAGUUACACAAUAGUGUGUCCCCCAGUGGUAGGACAGUCUACUACUGAGUCCUCCUGGCAUGAGUCGAGCUGAGAUUAGGAUAGGGUAGUGACCCUUCAGUUUUGGGGAAGGGACCAGAGCUCGGCCAGUGAGAAGCUUCCAGCUCCGUCUGGCCAUAUCCAGGUUGCUGAGGGUCCCGGGCUCUGUCCUUAAACCUCAUCACUGACAUGACCCAGCAAACCUCCUCAAGAGGAAAAAGUCCCCUUGGGUCAAACACAGCUUGUGCAGGUCUCGGGGACCUCCUCCUGCCAUCCUGGGGACGCUGUGGAG